UACAGAGGUCCCAAGCGUUGUUCGGAUUCAUUGGGCGUAAAGGGUGCGUAGGCGGCGGGGUAAGUCUGAUGUGAAAGGUUGGGGCUCAACCCUGACACUGCAUUGGAUACUGCCUUGCUAGAGUACUGGAGAGGAGACUGGAAUUUACGGUGUAGCAGUGAAAUGCGUAGAGAUCGUAAGGAAGACCAGUGGCGAAGGCGAGUCUCUGGACAGUUACUGACGCUGAGGCACGAAGGCCAGGGGAGCAAACGGG
rnacentral:rRNA from 1 species